rnacentral:rRNA from 1 species
AGAGUUUGAUCAUGGCUCAGAUUGAACCCUGGCGGCAGGCCUAACACAUGCAAGUCGAGCGGAAACGACAACAUUGAAUCUUCGGAGGAUUUGUUGGGCGUCGAGCGGCGGACGGGUGAGUAAUGCCUAGGAAAUUGCCUUGAUGUGGGGGAUAACCAUUGGAAACGAUGGCUAAUACCGCAUAAUGCCUACGGGCCAAAGAGGGGGAUCUUCGGACCUCUCGCGUCAAGAUAUGCCUAGGUGGGAUUAGCUAGUUGGUGAGGUAAUGGCUCACCAAGGCGACGAUCCCUAGCUGGUCUGAGAGGAUGAUCAGCCACACUGGAACUGAGACACGGUCCAGACUCCUACGGGAGGCAGCAGUGGGGAAUAUUGCACAAUGGGCGAAAGCCUGAUGCAGCCAUGCCGCGUGUAUGAAGAAGGCCUUCGGGUUGUAAAGUACUUUCAGUUGUGAGGAAGGGG